rnacentral:tRNA from 1 species
UAUAGCCCAGUGGGCAGGCAUAUAGCCGAAAAACUGUAGGAGACGGGUUCAAUUCCUGCCAGGUG